AAGUCGUAACAAGGUUUCCGUUGGUGAACCAGCGGAAGGAUCAUUACAGAGAUCAUGCCCUUCGGGGUAGACCUCCCACCCUGUGUUAUUUACUCUUGUUGCUUUGGCAGGCCGCCUUCGGGCUCCCGGCUUCGGCUGGGGCGCGCCUGCCAGAGGACCCCAUAUUCUAUGUUUUUUUGUCGUCUGAGUACUAUAUAAUAAGUUAAAACUUUCAACAACGGAUCUCUUGGUUCUG
rnacentral:misc_RNA from 1 species